GAUGAACGCUAGCGGCAGGCCUAAUACAUGCAAGUCGGACGGGAUCCAUCGGAGAGCUUGCUCGAAGAUGGUGAGAGUGGCGCACGGGUGCGUAACGCGUGAGCAACCUACCUCUAUCAGGGGGAUAGCCUCUCGAAAGAGAGAUUAACACCGCAUAACAUCAACAGUUCGCAUGUUCAGUUGAUUAAAUAUUUAUAGGAUAGAGAUGGGCUCGCGUGACAUUAGCUAGUUGGUAGGGUAACGGCUUACCAAGGCGACGAUGGCUAGGGGCUCUGAGAGGAGAAUCCCCCACACUGGUACUGAGACACGGACCAGACUCCUACGGGAGGCAGCAGUAAGGAAUAUUGGUCAAUGGGCGGAAGCCUGAACCAGCCAUGCCGCGUGCAGGAUGACUGCCCUAUGGGUUGUAAACUGCUUUUGUCCAGGAAUAAACCUAUCUACGUGUAGAUAGCUGAAUGUACUGGAAGAAUAAGGAUCGGCUAACUCCGUGCCAGCCGCCGCGGUAAAAC
rnacentral:rRNA from 1 species